UACAAAUGUAGUCUUAUGUUUAUGUUAAA
rnacentral:piRNA from 1 species